rnacentral:lncRNA from 1 species
CUUGCAAAAAAUAAAUUUAAAUAUUAAAUCUGAAUUAAAUCAAAAUCAAUUAACAAUAAUAAUAACAACAACUAAAAUAAAUAAAUUAUUUCCUUAAUUUAAUAUUAAUUACUUAACUUAUAAAAAAAUUACCUUUUUUUCCUUCGUUUUCUUUCUUUUUCCUUCCCUCCCUCUUCUUCUCCUUCUCUUUUUCUUUUUCUUUUUUCUUCCUUCUCCUUUUUCUCUUCUUUUCUUCUUCUCCUUCUUCUUCUCUUUUUUUUUCUUUUCCUUCUUUCUUCCUAGCCGAAAUGAACUUUGGGGACCAUUAUAUGGUCCCCAAACAAAGAAAAAAACAAGCAGCCCUGUCCCAUCGCCGGUGCCGCCUCUACCACAUCCACCAUCAAUGCCACUUGCGGCAGGUCCUCAACCGAUGCCGCUUGCGGCAAGCCCUUCACCACCUGCCAUCUCCUAUCCCAUCAUUUCUUGUUUUUUGUUACAGCUUUCUUUUUGUUUCAGAUUUUUUUUCAGAUUUUUUUAAUAGUAGAUUUUGUUUUUUUUAACAAAUAAUGCCAAAGGCAAGGUGGUCAUGCCUCUGCCAGAGGCGGCACCACUCUUCAUGUACCAUUUUGGUACAUAAUUUAUGGUUUGUAUCAUUUUGGUGUUUUUUUUUACUAUAUUAGUAAAAAAACCCAUAUUUAGAAUGUGCCCCUAUUUAUACUAUUUAUUAAAC